UACAGAGGUGGCAAGCGUUGUUCGGAAUUACUGGGCGUAAAGGGCGCGUAGGCGGUUCCAUAAGUCCCGCGUGAAAUCCCCCGGCUCAACUGGGGAACGGCGCGGGAGACUGCGGGGCUUGAGUUCGGGAGAGGGAAGCGGAAUUCCUGGUGUAGCGGUGAAAUGCGUAGAUAUCAGGAGGAACACCUGUGGUGUAGACGGCUUACUGGACUGCAACUGACGCUGAGGCACGAAAGCGUGGGUAGCAAACAGG
rnacentral:rRNA from 1 species